rnacentral:rRNA from 1 species
GCAGGCUUAACACAUGCAAGUCGAGCGCCCCGCAAGGGGAGCGGCAGACGGGUGAGUAACGCGUGGGAAUCUACCCAACCCUACGGAAUAACGCAUGGAAACGUGUGCUAAUACCGUAUACGCCCUACGGGGGAAAGAUUUAUCGGGGAUGGAUGAGCCCGCGUUGGAUUAGCUAGUUGGUGGGGUAAAGGCCUACCAAGGCGACGAUCCAUAGCUGGUCUGAGAGGAUGAUCAGCCACAUUGGGACUGAGACACGGCCCAAACUCCUACGGGAGGCAGCAGUGGGGAAUAUUGGACAAUGGGCGCAAGCCUGAUCCAGCCAUGCCGCGUGAGUGAUGAAGGCCCUAGGGUUGUAAAGCUCUUUCACCGAUGAAGAUAAUGACGGAUCGGAGAAGAAG